UUCAGGCUUCAAGAGGGUAAGUUAAAGCCACUAAGCUAUCCAACCAUGAACCAACUACCCCUUUUUCCCUCCUUAGCUAUUUAUUUAUUUAAAGCAUCAUCCUAAAAGACCCUCUUUUUUGUUACUCCUACUACUAUUCUCUUUAGGCAAAAAGGUGAGAAUAAAUGUGGCAAAAUCAGACCCAGAAAUCUUCUUCCUUUAGAGAAUCCAUCAAAGCCCUUGAAGCUGAUAUUCAACAUGCCAAUACUAUGGCAGCAGCUCUUCCGCGGAUCUCGAUGGGGAUUGUGUUCAGAUGAAAGUUUCCUACGGCUUUCUUGCCCCCUUCUUGCUAUUUCUCAUAGAAUGGAUGGACUAUAGUUGCUUAGAUAAUCUUGCAACUUGUUUAGGCCUCCUUCACAUUCUUGUUUACAGGGUCUAUGUUGAUGGAAUUCCAACAAUCUCCCCACAAGAAAGGAAAGCCACAAUUAGAGAAUUCUAUGUUGACGAUAAUAAAAUGAUAUCGGAGGGAGUGCUAGGAUUUCAUCUGUUUUUUUAAAAUCUUGCAGCCAUUAUAUAUCCUUCACUUAAGCAGCUAGAGGGCAAUCUAGUGGAAUUAAUGAAGGAGAAUGAUAAAAUAACUCAACUCUCUCACACUUGGAAUGGAGAAGGAGUGGAAGAGAAGAGACAGUCAUGUAAAAGUAUACAACGAGAAGAAGAAUGCGACAUAUGCAUGGAGACUGGCUCCAAGGUGGUUCUGCCUAAUUGUGGCCAUUCCAUGUGUGCUGUCUGUUUCCAUGACUGGUACAUCCGGUCUCAAUCAUGCCCUUUUUGCCGAGGUAGCCUACAGAGAGUGAGCUCCGGAGACUUGUGGGUUCUAACUAGUUAUUGCGAUGUGGUUGAUAGUACUAUACUUGGGCAGGAGAACCUAAGGCGCUUCUACCUUUAUAUUGAUAAGUUGCCACUUGCUGUGCCUGACACCAAUGUGAUGCUUUACGACUAUAUGAUAUAGCGUUGGAAGUGGAAGCAAUGAAUCAUGCAUACCGACCUAUUACCAAAUAUGCUUGAUCCUGAGUAGGACUUUAAAUCCCAUAUAAUACAGCGGAAUAAGGGCUCUCACCCUCAUUGUGUAUAGUUAGCUAAAUACUAGCUAUCCAUACUGCAACUCAGAGCUUCAGUGACAAGGUGUUUGUGGAAUGACUACUCUUUGCACAUGAUUGCUUUGUGCAAUUCCGCGAUAAGUUUCUUAAAUGGAGGAAAAUUAUGUAAAGGGUCAUCUAACUCAUGGCAGUAGAAAGCAUAGAGAUAUGCCUGACAUUCAACUCAGUUUUUUUUUGGGACCUGAGUGCUGAAAUGGAAAGGCAAAUGAUUAAAGGAUUUAUUUACCAUUGGCAAGUUCAGCUGUUGAUUGUAAUGCUUGUACAGUAUAUUACAAUGAAAAAUAAAGGAUGUAUUUACCUGUUA